rnacentral:rRNA from 1 species
UACGAACUGUGCAAACGUUAUUCGGAAUCACUGGGCUUAAAGGGUGCGUAGGCGGCCAUUUAAGUAGGGUGUGAAAGCCCCCGGCUCAACCGGGGAAUUGCGUCCUAAACUGGAUGGCUGGAGUGAGAUAGAGGUGUGUGGAACUUCCGGUGGAGCGGUGAAAUGUGUUGAUAUCGGAAGGAACGCCGGUGGCGAAAGCGACACACUGGAUCUUAACUGACGCUGAGGCACGAAAGCCAGGGGAGCGAACGGG